UUGCACGCUGGCGGCAUGCCUUACACAUGCAAGUCGAACGGUAACAGGUUAAGCUGACGAGUGGCGAACGGGUGAGUAAUGUAUCGGAACGUGCCCAGUCGUGGGGGAUAACUGCUCGAAAGAGCAGCUAAUACCGCAUACGACCUGAGGGUGAAAGCGGGGGAUCGCAAGACCUCGCGCGAUUGGAGCGGCCGAUAUCAGAUUAGGUAGUUGGUGAGGUAAAGGCUCACCAAGCCGACGAUCUGUAGCUGGUCUGAGAGGACGACCAGCCACACUGGGACUGAGACACGGCCCAGACUCCUACGGGAGGCAGCAGUGGGGGAUUUUGGACAAUGGGCGCAAGCUUGAUCCAGCCAUGCCGCGUGCGGGAAGAAGGCCUUCGGGUUGUAAACCGCUUUUGUCAGGGAAGAAAAGGUUCUGGCUAAUACCUGGGACUCAUGACGGUACCUGAAGAAUAAGCACCGGCUAACUACGUG
rnacentral:rRNA from 1 species